rnacentral:rRNA from 1 species
GACGAACGCUGGCGGCGUGCUUAACACAUGCAAGUCGAACGAUGAAGCCUAGCUUGCUAGGUGGAUUAGUGGCGAACGGGUGAGUAAUACGUGAGUGACCUACCUUUGACUCUGGGAUAAGCCUGGGAAACUGGGUCUAAUACCGGAUACGACCAAUCUCCGCAUGGGGUGUUGGUGGAAAGCGUUAUGGAGUGGUUUUAGAUGGGCUCACGGCCUAUCAGCUUGUUGGUGAGGUAAUGGCUUACAAAGGCGACGACGGGUAGCCGGCCUGAGAGGGUGACCGGCCACACUGGGACUGAGACACGGCCCAGACUCCUACGGGAGGCAGCAGUGGGGAAUAUUGCACAAUGGGCGCAAGCCUGAUGCAGCGACGCCGCGUGAGGGAUGACGGCCUUCGGGUUGUAAACCUCUGUUAGCAUCGAAGAAGCGAAAGUGACGGUAGGUGCAGAGAAAGCGCCGGCUAACUACGUG